rnacentral:rRNA from 1 species
AUGGCGGAGACGCAGGCAGAAAUCGAUUCUUACAUUGAGCUUUACUGGGCUGAUAGGAUGGAGGCGUUCUUGGAGGAGGAGACGGAGAGAAGGGAGAGUGGUUCCGGCGGCGAAAUGAAGAAAAGGAAGACGGCGGCGGGAGUAGGCUCGAAGAAGGCGGCGGCGGCGGAGGAUCCGGUGGAGGAGAGCGACAACGAAGAGGGGCAAGUGGAGUCGAUCAGUAUAGCGAAAUCGAAUCUGGCGAGGACAAAAAAGAUUCUAAACGCAAAGAUUGCCAAGCUUGUGGGAGUGGAGAGCGGGGAGGGCCCCCAUUAUAAGACCAAGACGAUGACCGAGGAAGACGUCGCGGCGGCAGCCAUGUACAGAGCCAAGGGGGAGGAGGCGCACAUGAACCAGGAUCGGAAGGGGGAGCUGGACGCCGUCAUCAAGUGGAUCGCCACGGGAGAUCCCGAGGCAAUCAGGAUCUCGGACCAGUGGAUGGCUGAAAAUGUGGAGGCCAUGAAGCUGGAGCCAAAAGAUCCUACCGACUGGCUGGCCGAACAAGCCAAGGACUACCGUGAAUUCUGGGAUCUUCUAUGGGCCGGCUCCUUCGGUAAAUGGGAGGAUAUCACGCUUAUCCAACCCAUGCUUUACACGGACGAGAAGCCUCCGCAAGAUGUGUACCCCAUCCGAACUCUGCAGGUCUUUUCGGUCAAAGUAGCAGCCAUCACAGAGGAAUUGGGGUGGCCGCUGCAUGUCUUUGGUAUCGUUGCCGCACGCGACUCGUUGGAUCACAAUCGCAACAUUAUCUUUGGCCGUCAAAGGGAUAACUGCCAAACCAUCGACAGUGAGAAUCGAUACCUGACACUGACAGGUCCUACCCGUGCUGUUGUGGUUGUGGAUCCUGUGUUCUUUGAGGUUGACUUGCGAGUGAAGGGCAGAACUGAAUCUGAGGAUAGAGCUUUGAGCUAUCUAGUUGUUAAUUGCCAUGAGUCUGGCUGUCGUGAAUCUUACAUGUUUAAACGUGUCGAAACUAGCAAGCUUAGCACAGUGGAAUUGACAUUGGGUGACAUGGCUGAAUCUGUGGAGGCCACCAUCAGUGUCAGAGUUGUCGAUGGGGAAUGGCCAGAAGGCUUUGGAGGUCUAAUUUCUGCCCGUACCGCCAGUAUCAGUGACAUAGAAAUCAAGUUGCUUGCUUUCGAUUAA